rnacentral:sRNA from 1 species
GAAAUUUGCCCCAACUGGAACUUCUCGAAAACUUGUACAUUCUGCACGCGGCGUAUAGCUUUGAUUCGGAUCAAAAAUCAAUACUUGACGUGAUUCUUGAUUAUACAUUGGGAGUUUUUUGUAAUCAAAUGAUGGAAUGGAUGACUACGGGCGAAAUUCCCACCAGUGAUAAGGUUUUUUGACUGAAAAUUGAAAAAAAAAUGGCUUAAUUUUAAAAUUUUUGAGUUUCAGUGGAUUAUUGAGAAGAAUGAGCAGAGCGGAGAGCUUUUUCUGCGGAAAAUUCCAAUUUUUAUCACGGAUUCGGAUGCUAGAAUUGUGAGUUUUUAUUUAAAAAACUGAUUUUAACUGGAAAAAUUUUGAUUUUUUAGCAAAAAAUCUCUUUCCUCGAAUUUUCCUCGAAUUUUUUAUCGAAAAAUCGACUUUUCUGCAAUUUUUGAGCCCAGAUACUAAUUGGUGGCCGAACUCUUUGGAUUUCUAAGCCACCGAUCGAGAAAUCUCUAAAAAAAAUCUAGUUUUCUGACAAAAGUCGAUGUUUUCAUGAUUUUUGAUCCUAAAAAUCGAUUUCUCGGCAGUUUUUUGACCGAAAAAUGAGUUGAUGGCCGAACUUUUUGGAUUUCUAGGCCACGAGUUGAAAUUUUCGGAAUUUUAGACAUUUUUGUCCAAUUUUCGAUAUGAAAAUCAAAUUUUUUCGGCAGGUUUUAGAUCAAAAAUGGAUUGGUGGCUGAACUUUUUGGAUUUCUAGGCCACCAAGUGGAAAAAAUUCGGGUUUUUCGUGCAAACUUCAUUUAUUGAGUCGAAAUUCAAUUCGCAAUCGAAAAAAAAAGUCGAAUUUUUCAUAAAUAAAUUGGUGGCCGAACUCCUUGGAUUUCUAGGCCAUCAGUUGAAAAUUCAUUAAACAAAAAGGUGAAGUUGGUGGCCGAAAUUGUGCGAUUUCUAGGCCAACAAUUUCGAAAAUUUUGAAUUUUUGUUGAAAAAAUAAUCUAGUUUUGAUAGGUGGCCGAACUUUUUCGAAUUUCUAGGCCACUAAUCGAAAAAUAGACUAUUGUUUUUUUUUUCAGAGUUGUUUUUCGAAUAUUCUCCAAGCAAAUAUGAAAAUAUUUAGAAAAAUGUCAUGAAUUUACUGGAUUUUUCGAAAAAAAAUCUUCAAUUUUUCCUCUGAAAUGGACAAAAAUUGGCCAGCUUUCAGUAAAAUCUCUGAAAAUAUUUAUUUUUAUUCAAAAUCGGAGAUUUCUUUGACUUUUCUCACCAAAAAUCGAUAAUUCCUUGACUCUUGUGCUUCUACUCAGAUUGGUGGCAUAAAAACUGUAUUUAUUCACAUUUUCAUCCUUAAAUUGGGCUGAAAAUGUGAAUAAAUACCGUAUUUCUGCCAACAAUUCGACAAUAGAGCACAUUUGUCACUCGGAGACGCCGAAGCUAUGCCCAAAUUUUCAAUUUUUCCCGAAAAACUUGUGAUUUUCGCAGAUUUUCAGUUGAAAAUUCGAAUUCUCCAUCCCUUUUUACGCCCGUCACCCGGUUUUCAGACAAUUUGGGCCAACUGUCGUAAAAUUCGGUGCCGAGUACGCAAACAUCGGUGUUUGCGUACUUUUGGAGCUACCGUAACCCUUGAAAUUUAAAUUUCAAGCUAGAGGCAAAGAAAAACGUGUUAUAGUGGUGAAAAUCCUCAGGAAAUUGGUUUUUCAUAAUGAAAAAUGCUGAAAAUUCCUAGAAAGUUGAAAAAAAACCUUAAUAUUUGUUUUUCGUUCAAAAUUGAAAAUAUUGAGCCAAAAUUUGAUGAAAAGCCACAGGAAUUCUCAUUUUUCUAGCAAUAUCACAUCUGGUGGCCUAACUUUUUGGAUUUCUCGGCCAUCUCAAUUUUCCAUAAUUUCAGUGGCUCUUGUGCUUCUACUCGUAUUGAUUGCAGUAAAAACGGGUAUUUAUUCACAUUUUCAGCCUUAAAUCAGCUGGAAAUGUGAAUAAAUACCGUAUUUCUGCAAACAAUUUGACAAUAGAGCACAUUUGUCACUCGGAGAUGCGGAAGCUAUGCCCAAAUUUUCAUUUUUCCCCCAAAAGCUUGUGAUUUUUCAAUUUAUUCUUCGAGUUUUAAUUUUUUUUUGCACAAAAAUUCGCUUGUCAUCAUGCAUUUUUCAGCUUCUCGAAAUUGGAAAAUCCCUUCCACACGUUGAAUCUGCAUCAGACUCGGAUCUGGAGGCAAUCGAUAAAGCGACUACAGUAGUCCGUACUCAAUUGGGUCCCAAAGCGAUUUUCUCGAAAAUUUUGGGCCAAAUCUUGCGUAUUCUCCGUGAUGUUGUGUGUGGAAUUGUGAUGCGGAUGGUGAUGGAAACUGGACGAUUAAAGGAACAUGUACUCAAAUCAACAUCAUUCUUCUUUUUGAGUGAUCCCAGAUUUACGACCACUCUCUACACUAUUAUAAA